CUGCAGAAGGUGUUCUACCGCUCCAACGCGGCGCGCGAGGCCUUCGUGGAGAUGUGCGCCGACGACUACGUCCAGAAAAUGACCUUCGACAGCUACCUCUACAAGCGCGUCGUGCCGGGCAACCCGCUCGACGACAUCAAGCUCGCCGUCAACACCAUCGGCAGCCUCGUCAGGGCCACCGCGCUGCGCAGGGAGAUGGAGAAGGUCACCUUGUGAGCCGCCGGCUGCGACGUCGUCGAGCUGCCGUUCACUUCAGGUGUUCGAGUCGCAGCUCAUCGAUCGGUGUAUUAGUAGAGGUUCGCGGCUGAUCAUGCAAGCGAGUUAAUUUAGGCCAGCGUGCGUAGGCACGGAGAGUUAAAAGACAGAGGGGUGGUGCAGGU
rnacentral:lncRNA from 1 species